CUUGCUUUCUUUGCUGGCGACCGGCGCACGGGUGAGUAACACGUAUCCAACCUGCCCUUUACUCGGGGAUAGCCUUUCGAAAGAAAGAUUAAUACCCGAUAGUAUAAUGAUUCCGCAUGGUUUCAUUAUUAAAGGAUUCCGGUAAAGGAUGGGGAUGCGUUCCAUUAGGUUGUUGGUGAGGUAACGGCUCACCGAGCCUUCGAUGGAUAGGGGUUCUGAGAGGAAGGUCCCCCACAUUGGAACUGAGACACGGUCCAAACUCCUACGGGAGGCAGCCAUG
rnacentral:rRNA from 1 species